rnacentral:rRNA from 1 species
GAUGAACGCUGGCGGCGUGCCUAAUACAUGCAAGUCGAGCGAACAGACGAGGAGCUUGCUCCUCUGACGUUAGCGGCGGACGGGCGAGUAACACGUGGAUAACCUACCUAUAAGACUGGGAUAACUUCGGGAAACCGGAGCUAAUACCGGAUAAUAUAUUGAACCGCAUGGUUCAAUAGUGAAAGACGGUUUUGCUGUCACUUAUAGAUGGAUCCGCGCCGCAUUAGCUAGUUGGUAAGGUAACGGCUUACCAAGGCAACGAUGCGUAGCCGACCUGAGAGGGUGAUCGGCCACACUGGAACUGCGACACGGUCCAGACUCCUACGGGAGGCAGCAGUAGGGAAUCUUCCGCAAUGGGCGAAAGCCUGACGGAGCAACGCCGCGUGAGUGAUGAAGGUCUUCGGAUCGUAAAACUCUGUUAUUAGGGAAGAACAAAUGUGUAAUUAACUAUGCACGUCUUGACGGUACCUAAUCAGAAAGCCACGGCUAACUACGUG